GGACUGGCCCAUCCCCAAGAAUGAAAAAGAUAUACAGAGAUUUGUGGGGUUUGCCAAUUUUUACAGGCGUUUCAUUAAGAAUUUCUCUGCCAUUAUUACACCGAUCACUGAACUUACACGUAAAGGGACUCCCUUUCAGUGGUCCAAUAAGGCUGACACUGCAUUUUCCAGAUUAAAGACUCUGUUUACAUCUGCCCCUAUCUUGAUACAUCCUCAGCCAGAAUUGCCAUUUACUGUAGAGGUAGAUGCUUCUGAUUCAGCUGUUGGGGCUAUACUGUCUCAAAGGACUGGACCUAAGAUGUUGUUACAUCCAUGUGCCUUCUAUUCCCGCCAAAUGUUACCAGCAGAAAGAAAUUAUGACAUAGGGAAUAAAGAACUUUUGGCUAUAAAAGCUGCCUUCACCGAAUGGAGACAUCUCUUGGAGGGAGCCACCCAUCCAAUUACUGUCCUCACAGAUCACAAAAAUCUGGAAUGUAUCCAAUCCGC